ACACGUAUAGAGAGAGUGACACCAUGCCGCUUUGUUAAAAAGGUAGAGGAAGAAGAAAUAUAACAGUAACGGUAAUAGUAGUAGUAAGAGUAUUAAGGGAAAAAAGUAUGAAACAUACAAAAAUAUCAAUGAAAAUUGGGGAAAAUAAGAGAUGAAAUAUUGUCAACGAAAAGAAAUAACUUACCUCAUCGAUUGGGAGGACUUUCUCGUAUGCAAGCCUCGUCUUAGUCAGCUCCUCAUUCUACCUCUCUUUCGUUCCUUGGUAGCAAGCACGGUAGCCAUGUCAACAACGCAAACGUAUCUUUCGUCGUCCUCUUGUAUGAUCACCGCCAUGACAAACUUAUAAUCCUCUUCCUCUUCCUGAUGUUACAAAUAAAAAUCUUAUA